rnacentral:lncRNA from 1 species
GCAAAUACGCAAUUAGUCACAAUAUAAGAACACUCAUGAGGACUCAUGACUCCACACCACGCUCUUUUGGGAAAUGGAUUCUUUGAGAUUGAGUACUUAAGUUAAUUUAAUAUGUCUUCCUUUAAUGUUACUGUGUCAGAAUGUGACACCCGAUCCAAUAAUAUCAUGUCGGAACGUGACAUCCGAUCCAAUAAUAUCGUGCCGGCUAGUGGCACCCGAUCUAACAAUAUAGUUAAUUCAUCAUUCUUUCCACUUAACAAUAUUUCAUUACACCUUCUUUAUUCAAGACAUCACCGUGAUAGAACAAAUUCAAGAUUAUGGAUUUCACGGUCUUGGGAUUACACACCAAUCACAACAACACAUGAAUCAUCCAAGCCACAACAAUGAAGUACACAGAAAAUUUCACAGAAUUACUCAAUGACUAUCAAUCACUAUUAAGAGUCUCUCUAUCAGAUAGAAUAAAUCAUAACUUACCUCCAGCGAAGAAUCGAAAUCAAGCAAGCUAAUUCCCUAAUGCUUUUCCUUACCUCCAGCGAAGAAUCGAAAUCAAGCAAGCUAAUUCCCUAAUGCUUUUCCUUACCUCCAGCGAAGAAUCGAAAUCAAGCAAGCUAAUUCCCUAAUGCUUUUCCUUACCUCCAGCGAAGAAUCGAAAUCAAGCAAGCUAAUUCCCUAAUGCUUUUCCUUACCUCCAGCGAAGAAUCGAAAUCAAGCAAGCUAAUUCCCUAAUGCUUUUCCUUUCCGCAAUGCCUCAGUAC